AAAUAACAGCAGAUGGCUCCGGCCCAAAGCGCUCCGGGUUCCCUCACUCCAUAAAUGAUUUUACUAGGCCAGCCAUGAGCUUGAUGUAAUCGAAUAGGUUUCACUCUUUUCCCUCUCCCUCCACAGAAUAUUUGUGCAGCUUACGGGGAGGCAUCCAGGGGGACCGAGCUGUUGCUGGAAGGAAUCUCUGACUCGCUCUUGCCUCAUCACCUUGGGAAGCAGCCAAAGAAUCCUACUCUCUGCAGGGUAAGGAGGAGGUGACUGCAGGACUAUGAUGACCAUAGGAUUCGUCUCCAAGAGAAAAUUCCCAUGGAUGUGAAGCCUAUUCAAGGGGGCUAAUAGAGACAUUUCCUCCUAAUGAUGAUUACUCAGCAGAAGUGAUUGCGUGAUUCCCAGAAAUACUGUGUGCUGAACUACCGCUUCCUUAAAACAUAACACACAGCAACCUCUAUCCAGUGAGAUGUGAAGAAGAAAAUGCUGCAUAGCACAGCUAUUCCUCCAUGGCAGAAGUGUAACAUCUUCCUCUGGCCCAGAAAAUGCUCGGAUCUAAUGCAGAUGUGCUGGUGAGCUGGGUAAGCCUUGGGACCUACCUACGCUACAGUUCUUCUUGUCCUUGCAUCACAGCCUGCAUGGCAGAAAUGGCUUCAUGUCUACUGAUUUAA
rnacentral:lncRNA from 1 species